AAAUCACAGUACCGGCUACAUAUAAGUUGUAGAUUAAAGGUUACAGACUUGGUCUUAUUCAGCAUAACACAAUUGUCAGUGCCGAUGGAAAGAUACAGGUUCAGAAAUAUUCUUACUUUAGUGAUGUUUUCAUGUGAUUUAGUGCUAACCCAGGAAACAAUUUACAAGACGUUAGGAUCUACAGUCGAGCUGGUUUGUCCUAUUGCCAAGACUAGUCGGCCUAUAACUUGGUUCGGACCAUUAAAUUAUAAAAUUUACGCAGUUGGGACGGACGUAUCACAAGAUGUUUCUACUCAAGUGGAUAUUAAUGAAACGGAAACAGAUAAAAAGUCCAUUUUAUUAAUCCACCGUUUCACCAAAGACAAAAGUGGAAAAUUCAGAUGUAGUGAUUUUGAUGAUAAACGAGAAUUUACCCUAAUAAUUAAAAGUAAGAUAAGGGGGAGGAAUCUGAGUCAGAAUUUUUUUGUCGCGCACAGCAAAAAGCUAUUUGGAGCAAGCCG